CCCGCUGAACUUAAGCAUAUCAAUAAGCGGAGGAAAAGAAACUAACAAGGAUUCCCCUAGUAACUGCGAGUGAACCGGGAAAAGCUCAAAUUUUGAAUCUGGCGGUCUUCAGGCCGUCCGAGUUGUAAUCUAGAGAAGCGUCUUCCGCGCUGGACCGUGUAUAAGUUUCCUGGAAUGGAACGUCGUAGAGGGUGAGAAUCCCGUCUUUGACACGGACUGCCAGGGCUAUGUGAUGCGCUCUCGACGAGUCGAGUUGUUUGGGAAUGCAGCUCAAAUAGGGUGGUAAAUUCCAUCUAAAGCUAAAUACAGGCGAGAGACCGAUAGCGAACAAGUACCGUGAGGGAAAGAUGAAAAGAACUUUGGAAAGAGAGUUAAACAGUACGUGAAAUUACUGAAAGGGAAACGCUUGAUGUCAGUCGCGUCGUCCGGGGAUCAGCCUUGCUCUUUUGCUCGGUGUAUUUCCUGGUCGACGGGUCAGCAUCGGUUUUGACCGUCGGAAAAUGGCUCGAGGAAUGUGGCACUCUUCGGAGUGUGUUAUAGACUCGGGUCGAAUACGGCGAUUGGGACCGAGGAACUCAGCACGACCUUAGGGUUCGGGGCUUCGGCCCACGUUAACGUGCUUAGGAUGCUGGCAUAAUGGCCUUAAGCGACCCGUCUUGAAACACGG
rnacentral:rRNA from 1 species